CUCAAACUUGAAAAUCUAUGCUGAAAUUAUCCAUAACCUAUGAGACUUGGAUGCAGGGCUGUUUGUGUGUUGGAAGAGGAUUCUUUGUACCCAAAGCACAGCCUCCCUAAGGACAGGAAGGAUGUUCAGGACAGACUUACACCUGGUGAAAGUUGGAACUUGGCCAACUGAUAGACCACCUGGUAGGUCAUUAUGAGCAAGUAGAAUUGGCCAUUAUGAGCCAAUUGCCUGGAGGUCAGAGAAGCAGCUGAGCAUCCCAUAGACAUCACCACAGCGUUCUCUACUCGUCACCAUGUGAAAUGUAAAUGAGAUCAGCUCAGUCCCUGUUUGACCUGGAAAAGUUUUCAGUCUAACCACUGUGGGAGCAUAAAAAUAAUCAAAAGGAUGGACUUGCUUGAAAGACAGACUUAUGUCUGAAUCCUAACUCCUCAGACCAUCGGCCCUUGGGACAGAGGAGACUCAAGCCAACGGCUGCCUGGAGAGCUGAAGACAGAGAGGUGGCUUGUGGCCAUGGCACCAACCUCCUGCCCACCGGUGCCUCUGCUUUCACCCUGGCCGCCCACUUCAGUCCUCUGUAUCACUGCUCUCGACGCUCCAAGUUAUUCUGCAGAGUUGUAGAAUUUCCACUAACAAACUACAUGUGUACGGCAUAUGUGUGGGUGAACACUCACGAGUGUCAUUGUGUAAACAGGCCCCCACCACCCAGAACAAACUUUCUGAGGAGGAGUUAGCUAUCUCAAGAACAUAUGAUGCAGUACUGUGUCUUCCAUUGAAGAGGAAUGGGUCAUGGAGAAGCCACCAAUGAGACUGAUGCGUGUCCUGGGCGUUUGCAAUGGUAUUAUUGACUGAUUUUCAUUAGCAUCACUAUCUUUAUUCAAACUCUGUCUCUUACACAAACAUACACACCCACAUACUCAUAUUCACAAAAAUACACAUGGGUUUCUGUCACACUGUAGCCCUGUUGUUUAUGGGGGCAUUGGCCAGUUAUCAGUAAAAUUAAAAGAAUGGAAGAUGGUUUUACUAGCAAUUUCCAAAUGUGUAUGUGCUCCCUAUUUGCCCUGGGUCUGUCUAGCAGGCAGACACAUUCCCUUGCAAGGAGGUGAGAGCCCAUUUCCCAAACCUUCCCCCUUUGGGUUUUCCCUGGUGUUAGUUUCAUCCUCAUUUUACUUGCAUGAACAUGGGCAUGAUGGUGAGGUGGUGAGGCUAAGAGGUAUUUUGGAGGAAGGAGGUAGGUAGGGACCUUACCCCCAGGAA